GGAGGGCGCUUACCACUUUGUGAUUCAUGACUGGGGUGAAGUCGUAACAAGGUAACCGUAGGGGAACCUGCGGUUGGAUCACCUCCUUACC
rnacentral:rRNA from 1 species